GAUGAACGCUGGCGGCGUGCCUAAUACAUGCAAGUCGAGCGAACAGACGAGGAGCUUGCUCCUUUGACGUUAGCGGCGGACGGGUGAGUAACACGUGGAUAACCUACCUAUAAGACUGGGAUAACUUCGGGAAACCGUAGCUAAUACCGGAUAACAUGUUGAACCGCAUGGUUCAACAGUGAAAGACGGUCUUGCUGUCACUUAUAGAUGGAUCCGCGCCGCAUUAGCUAGUUGGUAAGGUAACGGCUUACCAAGGCAACGAUGCGUAGCCGACCUGAGAGGGUGAUCGGCCACACUGGAACUGAGACACGGUCCAGACUCCUACGGGAGGCAGCAGUAGGGAAUCUUCCGCAAUGGGCGAAAGCCUGACGGAGCAACGCCGCGUGAGUGAAGAAGGUCUUCGGAUCGUAAAACUCUGUUAUUAGGGAAGAACAAAUGUGUAAGUAACUAUGCACGUCUUGACGGUACCUAAUCAGAAAGCCACGGCUAACUACGUG
rnacentral:rRNA from 1 species